ensembl:lncRNA
AGGUAAAACUAGGCAGCCGCUUGAGGCAAGUCUAAAAUGUAAAGCUCCAUGUAGCACGUAGUGGUGAAGUUCACAUAAAACAGUGAGUUUCAUUUAGCAGUUUAGAGCAUUUCUCUGACUACCAGUGGAAACACCAUGACAUUAUGAUGCCAGUCUGAUUUGUCUCCUACUUAUUUACAGUGAAUGUCAAGAUGGCUAAUUGUAGUCAUGACAUAGAAAGGUUUACAACCUCAUCCUUGUUUAUGUCUGGGAAGAGAUCACAGUAUUUGUUGAAAUACAAACCCUCAACUGCAACAGGUUUGUGCUGGGAUGACUGGGAAAGCUUAAACACAAAUGUACUAAAGAAACCACUGAACUAGACUGGCCAACCAACUCGACACACUCUGAUCUGUAUUGCUUGUUGAAAACAUGCUUCAAACCUGUGCUUCCCUGAAUGACUCAUAUUUACAGAUGGGACAGAUUUCAUUUUGACUUGUAGCGUCUGUCUGAUCAUGGUGUGAAUGGGGCCAUGAGUGUUCAGCUAUGACAGGCAGAGUGAAAGCCACAGGAUAGGAAGAGUGGAUGUGGUGGUGGGUGUUGGCUAGUCCUUCCCAGGCAAAGCAGUGUACUGUUAUCCUGUCUCCUUAUUACCUGGGUAGAAACAUCAUUCUGGGCUUACUGUCAUUAGUGUUCACGUGAUGUACAGCACACAGUGACAAACAAUCAUCAAGAUAUGAGCAGUACUAUGACACGGUGCCAGAGUACUUCACAAGAUGCUGUCUCAGAUCCAUUGUGCUCUGCAUGGAAGGCUUGGAGGGCCAUUCUGGCCAUGAUCAUUCAACACUAAUCCCAUCAUCAUGAUUCACAGAGGGGGGUUUUCUCUGCCUGUCUGAAAGCUGUCACCUGGAGAAGAUCUGCAUUAUGUUGAGGAAGGUGUGCACAAUUACAGUGGAUGGGGAAAUGUUAUAACACACACACACACACACAC